rnacentral:lncRNA from 1 species
GAUAAAUGUGUUUAAUCUUUAACCCAGGGUAGUGGGGUGCCAUUGAAUGAUUUUAAGCAGAGGGAACUAGAGGACAUAAUUGGAUUCACAUUUAAAGUUAUCACUCAUGCUGUUGUGAGGAAAAUGCAUUUGGAGGCGGGGACAAUAUUGGAGGAAUCAGUUAUAAGGAACAGAGGCGAGUUACGGUUGCAGCAAUGGAGAAUAAAGGACAGAUUCAAGACGCAAUUAGAAAGCAGAGGCAGCAACUCGGUGAUGGCUGGAUUGGAAAAGAAGAGGAGAGGGAGGAGUCAUGAAUGAAUCUGGGUCUCAGGCUUGAAAUCCCAGGUAGAUAUUGGGUAACGGGAUGGAUUCUUAGUCCAAUCAUUGGUAUAAGAAAAGCAGGAGAAGGAGCAGGUUUAGAAAGCCAGACAGAUUGAGCUACAUUUUAGACACUGAGUUUGAGAUGUCCCCUGGCUAUCAGGUAGAGACAUCUAGUAAAUAGUAAACAGUCAUAUGUACAGAACCAAAUAAAGUUAUAUGCUGCAGUCUUCCACAUGGGUCACUGAGUGAGCUGGUGAAAGCAUUGAACACACUGAAAUAAAAUGUUCAACACAUGGAAAAGUCCAAAGGAUUUGAGAAAAACAAGCAGGCUUGGCACUACAAGCCAAAGCACCCAGCCAAAAAGUCCUCUUUGAAUCCAUUUCCCAAGAAAGUACAAUCUAUAAUGGAGUUUGUGCUUUUCACUUGCUGUUAUAAAACAAUUCUACACAAAAUAAAAAUAAAGUUGGCCAUGAAUUUGAUAUGGAAGAAUAGCAGCAUGUCAAAGGCAAAAAAAAAAAAAAAGAAGAAGAAAGAAAAGAAAAAAAGAAAAAUGUUGGUUUAGGGCAAGAAUUUAAACAAAAAAGCUUAUUCUCAUAUUUCCUGAGGAUCUCCUCUGUGCUGAGCACUGGCCAGGCACUAGGAAUACAGCUGCACAUAAGACCAAGUCUCUGCCUACACGGCUUUCAUUCUAGCAUUCUAGUGGGGGUGACGGGCAAUUUUGUUUAUUGUUUUUUUUUUUUUGAGACAAGAUCUCACUCUGUUUCCCAGGCUGGAGUGCAGUGGCACUAUCUUGCUUCACUGCAGCCCCAACUUCCUGGGAUCAAGUGAUUCUCCCACCUCAGCCUCCCAAGUAGCUGAGACUAUAGGCGCAGACCAUCACACUCACUAAUUUUUGUAUUUUUGUAGAGACAGGGUUUCUCCAUGUUGGCCAGGCUGGUCUUGAACUCCUGGGGUCAAGAGAUCCUCCAGCCUUGGCCUGCCAAAGUGCUGGGAUUACAAGCGUGAGCCACUGCACCCAGCUUGGCAGUUUUUAAAAUUAGACAAAUGUAUGCAUAAUGUAAGGUCAGUCAUGAACAAGCAAUAAUAAGAACACAUCAUUUAGGGAUAUAAGAAAACAGGUGAUAUUGUUUGGAUCCUUGUCCCUGCCCAAAUCUCAUGUCGAACUGUAAUCCCCAAUGCUGGAGGUGGGGCCUGGUAGGAUGUCUUUGGAUCAUGGGGUCAUGAUCCAAAACACCAGGUCCCUCAGGGCCUGGUGUUGUCUUGGUGAUAGUGAGUUCUUGCCAGAUCUGGUAAUUUAGAAAUGUGUAUCACCUCCCUACACAUACUCUCUCUCUCUGGCUCCUGCCUUCACCAUGUGAUGUGCCUGCCCCACCCUCACCCGCCACCAUGAUUUUAAUCUUCUUGAGACCUCCCCAGAAGCUGAGCAGAUGCCAACACCAUGCUUCCUGUAAAGCCUGCAGGUUCAUGAGCCAAUUAAACCUCUUUUCUUUAUAAAUUACCCAGUCUUAGGUAUUUCUUUAUAGCAGUGCAAGAACGGCCUAGUGGAAAUACAGAAUUCUGGAUUAUGAUCACCUCUGGGGCAUCAGGAAUUCGUUCUUGGGAGGAACACACAGAUAGCCUGAAGGGCUCUGACCAUGUUCUGGUCUUCCUGAUGAGUGGUGGAUUCAUAGGUAUUCACUAUACUAUGUUUAAAAACUGACAUAUACAUUACAUUUAAAACAUUAAUUAUAGUAAAAUAUGCACAAUGUAAAAUUUACCAUCUUAACCACUUUUCCAUAGAUUUUAAUAGACUUUUUUUUUUUUUUUUGAGACAGAGUCUUGCUCUGUUGUCCAGGCUUGAGUGCAGUGGCAUGAUCUCAGCUCACUGCAACCUCCACCUCGUGGGUUCAAGUGAUUCUCCUGUCUCAGCCUCCUGAGUAGCUGGGAUUACAGGUGCCAGCCACCACACCCGGCUAAUUUUUGUAUUUUUAGAAGAGAUGGAGUUUCUACAUGUUGGCCAGGCUGGUCUUAAACUCCUGACCUCAAGUGAUCCACCCGCCUUGGCCUCUCAAAGUGCUAGGAUUACAGGCAUGAGUCACCGCACCUGGCCAACUUUAUUUUUUAGAGCAGUUUUUUUUUUUUUUUUUUUUUUUUUUUAGACGGAGUCUUACUCUUGUCACCCAGGCUGGAGUGCAAUGGCACAAUCUCAGCUCACUGCAACCUCCAACUCCCGGAUUCAAGUGAUUCUCCUGCCUCAGCCUCCCGAGUAGCUGGGAUUACAGGCAUGCACCACCACACCCAGCUAAUUUUUAUAUUUUUAGUAGAGACAGGGUUUCACCAUGUUGACCAGGCUGGUCUCAAACUCCUGACCUCAGGUGAUCUGCCCGCCUCGGCCUCCCAAAGUGCUGGGAUUACAGGCGUGAACCACCGUGCCCAGCCCUGGAGUAGUUUUAAGUUCACCACAAAAUUGAGCAAAAGGUACAGAGACUCCCCACAUAACCCCUGCCCCGCUACUGUCAGCAUUCCCCUACCAGCACAAGCCUCCCCUACUGUCAGCAUUCCACACUGGAGUGAAACCUUUACAAUGAAUGCCGCUACAUUGACACAUCCUCAUCACCCAAAGUCCGCUGUUCACAUUAGGUAGGUAGGGCUCGCUGUUGAUGUUGUACAUUCUAUGGAUUUGGACACACGUAAUGACAUGUAUCCACCAUUACAGUAUCAUACAGAGUAGUGUCACUGCCCUAGAAGUCCUCUGUGCUCUGCCCAGUCAUCCCUCCUUCUACCAACUACUGGCAACCACCCAUCUUUUUAUUGUCUCCAUAGUUUUGUCUUUUCCAGAAUGUCACACAGUUGGAAUCAUACAAUAUAGAGCCUUUUCAAAGUGGCUUCUUUCAUUUAAUAAUACACAUUUACGUUUCCUCCAUGUCUUUUCAUGGGCCAACAGCUCGUUUCAUUUUAGUGUUGUGCAAUAUUUCAUGGUCUGGAUACACCACAGUCUAACCAUUCACAUACUAAAGGACAUUUUGGUUACUUUCAAGUUUGGGCAAUUAUGAAUAAAGCUGCUAUAAACAUCCCUAUGCAUGUUUUUGUGCAGACAUACAUUUUCUUCAUAACCAUUUAAACGUAUACAGUUCAGUAGUGUUAAGUUCAUUUGCAUUGUUAUACAACCAAUAUCCAAAAUUCUUAUCUGACAAACUGAAACUCUAUACCCAUCAAACAACAACCUCUGUUCCUCAUUCCUGCCAACCACCAUUCUAUUUUCUGUGCCUAACAAAUUCAUUUGACACAGGUGCCUCUAGGUGCCUCUUAAAAGUGGACUCAUAAGCGUUUCCUUUUUGUGACUGGCUUAUUUCACUUAGCAUAAUGUCUUCAGUGUGACAGAGACCAGAGUAGCCCACCAUUCCCUUUGAACAUUGGUAUUGUACCACAAAAUCAAGUGGUUUUCAAACAUUUUUGAUCCGUGGGAGCUUUUUUUCUAAACCAUGUAUACAAAAAAAGUCAAAAGUGGAGAAAUUCUUAUUUCUUAGCCUUGGCACCUGUACAAUACAAUUGGAAGGGGUUGGGGUGGGGCUUGUCCAGAGAAGUCCCCACAAAGGUGCCCCAUAACACUAGACUGUACUCAGUCUCCAUCGUGAGACUAUUAUUUAUAAUAGUGAUUUGUGGCAUUUAAGAUGUGAAAUUUCCUUCAAAAUCUCAAACAUUAAGUUGUGUUACAUGCCAAUUUAAAUGUCAAAUGUAUAUUAUUUCAUUCAAAUUAUCUGAAAACCAUUCAUUCGCAUAUCAUGAGACCCUUUAGAAACGGAACUACUUGACUAACCAGCACUUCCCAUUCUCCAACUCCAGCAAGUGACAGAAACUUGCAG